CCUACGGGGGGCAGCAGUGAGGAAUAUUGGUCAAUGGGCGCGAGCCUGAACCAGCCAAGUCGCGUGAGGGAUGACGGUCCUACGGAUUGUAAACCUCUUUUGCCGGGGAGCAAGCGUGCGUUCGUGAACGCGCGUCGAGAGUACCCGGAGAAAAAGCAUCGGCUAACUCCAUGCCAGCAGCCGCGGUAAUACGGAGGAUUCAAGCGUUAUCCGGAUUUAUUGGGUUUAAAGGGUGCGUAGGCGGUUCGAUAAGUUAGAGGUGAAAUCCCGGGGCUCAACUCCGGCACUGCCUCUGAUACUGUCGG
rnacentral:rRNA from 1 species